UACGAAGGGGGCUAGCGUUGUUCGGAAUUACUGGGCGUAAAGGGCGCGUAGGCUGUGCUGUAAGUCAGGCGUGAAAGCCCCGGGCUCAACCUGGGAAUUGCGCUUGAUACUGCGGCGCUGGAAGGUGGGAGAGGAUGGCGGAAUUCCCAGUGUAGAGGUGAAAUUCGUAGAUAAUUGGGAAGAAUCACCGGUGGCGAAGGGCGGGCCAAGUC
rnacentral:rRNA from 1 species